CCAACCAUUACCAUUGAGGCAAGAAAGCGUGGGGGAGCAAACCGGGAUUAAUAAACCUGGGAAGUUCACGCCCUUAAACGAUGCGAAUGGAUGUUGGGUUGCAAUUUUGGCCUGCAGUAUCGAAAGCUAACGCGUUAAAAUUCGACGCUUGGGGAGUACGGUCGCAAGACUGAAAAUCAAAGGAAUUGACGGGGCCCGCACAAGCGGUGGAGUUUUGUGGGUUUAAUUCGAUGCAACGCGAAGAACGUUACCUGGCCUUGACAUGUCGAGAACUUUCCAGAGAUGGAUUGGUGCCUUCGGGAACUAGAACACAGGUGCUGCAUGGCUGUCGUCAGCUCGUGUCGUGAGAUGUUGGGUUAAGUCCCGCAACGAGCGCAACCCUUGUCCUUAGUUGCCAGCACGUAAUGGUGGGAACUCUAAGGAGACCGCCGGUGACAAACCGGAGGAAGGUGGGGAUGUCGUCAAGUCAUCAUGGCCCUUACGGCCAGGGCUACACACGUACCACAAUGGUAGGGACAGAGGGCUGCAAGCCGGUGACGGUAAGCCAAUCCCAGAAACCCUAUCUCAGUCCGGAUUGGAGUCUGCAACUCGACUCCAUGAAGUCGGAAUCGCUAGUAAUCGCAGAUCAGCAUAGCUGCGGUGAAUACGUUCCCGGACAAUUUACACCAGGACCCACACACCACCAGGAUUUGUUCACCAGAAUCCCGAGGUUUAAUUAGCGGAUAACUAUUUCCAGCAUGAAACAAUUAGCCCCACGUAUAGACCAACAACGGUUCCUCGCUUGGAUCCACCGGAACCUGCCGUCAGU
rnacentral:rRNA from 1 species